rnacentral:rRNA from 1 species
CCUACGGGGGGCAGCAGUGAGGAAUAUUGGUCAAUGGACGAGAGUCUGAACCAGCCAAGUAGCGUGAAGGAUGACUGCCCUAUGGGUUGUAAACUUCUUUUAUAUGGGAAUAAAAUGUUCCACGUGUGGGAUUUUGUAUGUACCAUAUGAAUAAGGAUCGGCUAACUCCGUGCCAGCAGCCGCGGUAAUACGGAGGAUCCGAGCGUUAUCCGGAUUUAUUGGGUUUAAAGGGAGCGUAGGUGGAUUAUUAAGUCAGUUGUGAAAGUUUGCGGCUCAACCGUAAAAUUGCAGUUGAAACUGGCAGUCUUGAGUACAGUAGAGGUGGGCGGAAUUCGUGGUGUAGCGGUGAAAUGCUUAGAUAUCACGAAGAACUCCGAUUGCGAAGGCAGUUCACUGGACUGCAACUGACACUGAGGCUCGAAAGUGUGGGUAUCAAACAGGAUUAGAUACCCGAGUAGUC